rnacentral:rRNA from 1 species
AACGAACGCUGGCGGCAUGCCUAACACAUGCAAGUCGAACGAGACCACCGGGUGUGCUGGCGCAUGGGGGUGUAACGCGUGGGAAGCUGCACGUAUGUACGGAAUAACUCCCCUAAGGGGGUGCUAAUACCGGAUAAUGUCUGCUAACCAAAGAUAUAUCGCCUUUGGGUGGGCCCGCGUUGGAUUAGCUGGUUGGGAGGGUAAAAGCCUACGACGGCGACGAUCGAUAGCUGGUUUGAGAGGAUGGUCAGCGACACUGAGAGUGAGAAACGGCCGAGAAUCCUACGGGAGGGAGGAGAGGGGGAUAUUGGAAAAUGGGGGAAAGGAUGAUCCAGUAAUGCCGGGUAAGUGAUGAAGGCCUUAGGGAAGUAAAGCUCUUUUACCCGGGAUGAUACUGACGGUACCGGGAGAAUAAGCUCCGGCUAACUCCGUG